rnacentral:rRNA from 1 species
CAGUAGCCGCGGGAAUACGUAGGGUGCGAGCGUUAAUCGGAAUUACUGGGCGUAAAGCGUGCGCAGGCGGUUGUGUAAGACAGGUGUGAAAUCCCCGGGCUUAACCUGGGAACUGCGCUUGUGACUGCCCAGCUAGAGUAUGGCAGAGGGGGGUGGAAUUCCACGUGUAGCAGUGAAAUGCGUAGAGAUGUGGAGGAACACCGAUGGCGAAGGCAGCCCCCUGGGCCAAUACUGACGCUCAUGCACGAAAGUGUGGGGAGCAAACAGGAUUAGAUACCCCCGUAGUCCCUGUCUCUUAUAC